AGAGACUGCCGACAACUGACCGUCGAGAUUCAAGAUUGCUUAACUUUCUUGGCUUAGCUAUUGUAAUUUCAGAUUUGCUCUUCUCAAUUUUGCCCAAAUUUGUUUUUCUCCGUAUCUAUUUUUUUGUAGUUUCAAUUUAUUGUUGUACCUUUCUUUUCCAUUAAUAUGUAUCUGUGCUACUCUUUCAUCUGAAUUCUGCCCAAAUUUUCAGGAAUGAAUUAGUUUUGCUUGUGGAGCUCGAUUCUGAAAUCUUCCAAAGAGAAGAAGCCCAGGGCUGAAAAUAAGCUUCUAAAGGACGCAUGAUGUUGUUCUCCUCUUCUCAUAUUUUUGUUCAACCUUUUUUGGUUAGUUGUUCCUUCAAAUUAUUGGAGCUUAAGUUGUUUUGGUAGUAAAUAUUUUAGUUUUGUUAAAAAAAUAAAUUAAUCCUUCCAACUACAUGAUGAAAUUUUAGGAUGAUGAGCUACAAUGACAUGAAUUCGACUGAUCAUUGGAAUUCAUCUUAUCCUGUAAUUUUGAUUUGGGGAAAAAAAAUAGUAUCAUCGUUUAAGGCAAUAAGAACAAUUCUUUUCGUUGAACUGACAAUCUAAAUUUAUAAUUCUGUUGGUAUAUAGAUAAUUUUAUGUUUUUAUAUGUGAGUUUUAAAUUGGUCAGAGAUCUUAAUACUAUGGAGUAAUUGUAGACUAAUAUAAUUCUUUACAUGGAGAGUGUGUGUUUAUUCAUGAAGUACUAAUCGAAGAUCACUGUCGACAAUUUGAUUAAACAAAAUUUAUAUAAUAUAAUUUUGGACCAUAUUAUAAAGUUUGUUGCUUUCCUCUAAAUAAGAAAUCUAUAACACCCACAGAAUCCAUGCAUUGCUUUCUUUUCUUCUUGAUUUAUAACCUUUAAUUUUUUUAACUUCCUUAGUCGUGGUCGUAAAUUAUUGAUGCAUCUAUUGGUUUAUUUCAGAUUUCACUUUGUUUUGUGAUAAUAAUUGACGUUUUUGUGUGUUUAGUAUUUCGAAUUAUGGUGAGUUUCAUUCUUCUAUUUACUUUCAAUUUUUAUUGUUGUGUGUGAUCAAUAUUCUGGACUCCGAUAAGUACAACUUUUAUAUUGACUUGCAUCCCCCUGCUUUUUCUAUUGAUUUGUUCCCUUGAUUGUACCUGUCUUUGAGUGUUGGGUGACUCUGUAGGUUCUUGUAUGGAUUGAUUGUGUUCCCUAUUGAAAGAGCUUUAGAGGAAUAUGAGUGGACAUCUACAUAGGCUUAUGUGAUUCGAAGCCAAUCACUCUGUAUUGCAAGAAAGACCGUAAAAAACAUAAUCAAUGGUAUUUUCUUAUAUUGCUCAAAACACUAAUUGAAGAAGGAGAUGCCUGCUCUCCAAAACCCACUUUCCUCUUUUGAAUGGUCGCACACCAAUUUUUUCCCCAACAUUUGGGGAUGUAUCUCUCUUUGAAAAAGUAAUAUUGUUGUUGUUUUUAAUUAAUAACAAAUUUAUUUGAAGUUACUGCCAGCUGUUAUUGAACUAUUGGGCGAUGCGAAGCAGCCGGUUAGAGAUGCAGCUAGGAGGUUGUUGCUUACUUUAAUGGAGAAUUGUGCAGACUUCCAAAAAAUACUCUCAAUUUCUUCCCUCCUUUCAAGUUUGAAAACUGGUGCUAUCAGUUGAGGUAUUUUCACAAAGGAAUAUUUUUUUAAUCUGUCUAGCUUUGGUGUGUUAUUUUUUUUAAUUAAAAGGCAUUUCCCUUUUACUCUGGUCGUUCAGAUGGUCAAAUUGAGACUGAUAUUUUUUGGCUACUGCUCUUGAAAAGCUAGAUUGAAGUCAAAUAAGAACAUACACACUGGGCUUUAUCAGGCUUUAUUGCUACAACAUUCUCUACCAUCUGCUAAACUACCACAAUAGCUGAGCAGAACAAGAUGAUUACAACCUUGCUAUUUUGCCCUUUGCCAAUGUCAGUUUAUGUAAUUGUGUAAACAUUGUUGCAUCUAUAUGCAUAAAACAGUACAUUGAUGAAUG